AUUGAACGCUGGCGGCAUGCCUUACACAUGCAAGUCGAACGGCAGCACGGGUGCUUGCACCUGGUGGCGAGUGGCGAACGGGUGAGUAAUGCAUCGGAACGUGCCCGGUAGUGGGGGAUAACUGCUCGAAAGAGCAGCUAAUACCGCAUACGACCUGAGGGUGAAAGGGGGGGAUCGCAAGACCUCUCGCUAUCGGAGCGGCCGAUGUCGGAUUAGCUAGUUGGUGGGGUAAAGGCCCACCAAGGCAACGAUCCGUAGCUGGUCUGAGAGGACGACCAGCCACACUGGGACUGAGACACGGCCCAGACUCCUACGGGAGGCAGCAGUGGGGAAUUUUGGACAAUGGACGCAAGUCUGAUCCAGCCAUGCCGCGUGCGGGAAGAAGGCCUUCGGGUUGUAAACCGCUUUUGUCAGGGAAGAAAUCUUCUGGGUUAAUACCUCGGGAGGAUGACGGUACCUGAAGAAUAAGCACCGGCUAACUACGUGCCAGCAGCCGCAGUAA
rnacentral:rRNA from 1 species